rnacentral:rRNA from 1 species
CAAUAGCGUAUAUUAAAGUUGUUGCGGUUAAAAAGCUCGUAGUUGGAGUUCUGCCAGGUGACACUCGUCCGCCCAAGUGGUGUGUACAGGGUGUGCAUCUGGCCCUUUCAAGGGGAACGUGUCUGCACUUCAUUGUGUGGUGCGAGAUCCUUGACUUUUACUUUGAGGAAAUAAGAGUGUUCCAAGCAGGCUCUCGUCGUGCAUAGCUCAGCAUGGAAUAAUAGCAUUGGACUUCGUUUCUACGCUGUUGGUUGCAAGAAGCGAGGUAAUGAUGAAGAGGGAUAGUUGGGGGCAUUCGUAUUUAACUGUCAGAGGUGAAAUUCUUGGAUUUGUUAAAGACGGACUACUGUGAAAGCAUCUGCCAUGGAUGUUUUCAUUGA